AUUGAACGCUGGCGGCAGGCCUAACACAUGCAAGUCGAGCGAGCGGCGGACGGGUGAGUAAUGUCUGGGAAACUGCCUGAUGGAGGGGGAUAACUACUGGAAACGGUAGCUAAUACCGCAUACCAUCAGAUGGGCCCAGAUGGGAUUAGCUAGUAGGUGGGGUAACGGCGCACCUAGGCGACGAUCCCUAGCUGGUCUGAGAGGAUGACCAGCCACAGUGGAACUGAGACACGGUCCAGACGCCUACGGGAUGCAGCAGUGGGGAAUAUUGGACAAUGGGCGCAAGCCUGAUGCAGCCAUGCCGCGUGUGUGAAGAAGGCCUUCGGGUUGUAAAGCACUUUCAGCGGGGAUGCGUUACCCGCAGAAGAAGCACCGGCUAACUCCGUGCCAGCCGCCGCGGUAAUUC
rnacentral:rRNA from 1 species